rnacentral:rRNA from 1 species
UACAGGGGGUGCAAACGUUGCUCGGAAUCAUUGGGCGUAAAGCGCGCGUAGGCGGCCAGAUAAGUCCGGUGUGAAAGUCACAGGCUCAACCUGUGAAUGCCGCUGGAAACUGUCUGGCUAGAGUCCGGAAGGGGCGAGUGGAAUUCCUGGUGUAGCGGUGAAAUGCGCAGAUAUCAGGAGGAACACCAAUGGCGAAGGCAGCUCGCUGGAACGGUACUGACGCUGAGGCGCGAAAGCGUGGGGAGCGAACAGG